UACGAAGGGGGCUAGCGUUGCUCGGAAUUACUGGGCGUAAAGGGCGCGUAGGCGGGCGAUUAAGUCAGGGGUGAAAUCCCAAGGCUCAACCUUGGAACUGCCUUUGAUACUGGUUGUCUUGAGUCCGGGAGAGGUGAGUGGAACUGCGAGUGUAGAGGUGAAAUUCGUAGAUAUUCGCAAGAACACCAGUGGCGAAGGCGGCUCACUGGCCCGGAACUGACGCUGAGGCGCGAAAGCGUGGGGAGCAAACAGG
rnacentral:rRNA from 1 species